rnacentral:hammerhead_ribozyme from 1 species
AUACUGCUGAGGAGUCCCAUAAUAGGACGAAAUGGCCAUCUAGUGC